GGAAUCUCCGUAUUUCCAGUCCCAUCAAAAUCAUCAACUUUGAGUCUCAUUACGCCAAACUACACGCUGACUCCAACUACCUGCUGUCAGAGGAAUAUGAGGACCUGAAAGACGUUGGCCGGAACCAGCCUCUGGACACAGCCCUGCUGCCUGAGAACCGUGGAAAGAACCGCUACAACAAUAUUCUGCCCUAUGACUCGACGCGGGUGAAGCUGUCCUAUGUGGAUGAUGACCCCUGCUCUGACUACAUCAACGCCAGCUACAUCCCUG